rnacentral:rRNA from 1 species
GAUGAACGCUAGCGGCAGGCCUAACACAUGCAAGUCGAGGGGUAACUAGAGUGAUAGCAAUAUUACUUUGGCUAGACCGGCGCACGGGUGCGUAACACGUAUGCAACCUACCUUAUACUGGGGAAUAACUUCGAGAAAUCGGCGCUAAUACCCCAUAACAUUGCGAAGAGGCAUCUCUUUGCAAUUAAAGCUCCGGCGGUAUAAGAUGGGCAUGCGUCCAAUUAGCUGGUUGGUGAGGUAACGGCUCACCAAGGCUACGAUUGGUAGGGGUUCUGAGAGGAUGAUCCCCCACACUGGUACUGAGACACGGACCAGACUCCUACGGGAGGCAGCAGUGAGGAAUAUUGCGCAAUGGACGAAAGUCUGACGCAGCCAUGCCGCGUGCAGGAUGACGGCCCUAUGGGUUGUAAACUGCUUUUGUACGGGAAUAAACCCCUCUACGUGUAGGAGGCUGAAGGUACCGUAAGAAUAAGCACCGGCUAACUCCGUGCCAGCAGCCGCCGUAACAC